rnacentral:rRNA from 1 species
UACGUAGGGCGCAAGCGUUGUCCGGAAUUAUUGGGCGUAAAGAGCUCGUAGGCGGUUUGUCGCGUCUGCUGUGAAAACCUAAGGCUCAACCUUGGGCUUGCAGUGGGUACGGGCAGACUAGAGUGCGGUAGGGGUGACUGGAAUUCUUGGUGUAGCGGUGAAAUGCGUAGAUAUCAAGAGGAACACCUGCGGCGAAGGCGGGUUGCUGGGCCGACACUGACGCUGAGGCGCGAAAGCUAGGGGAGCGAACGGG